AGGAUAAACGCUGGCGGCGUGCCUAACACAUGCAAGUCGAACGCCCUACGCAAGUAGGGAGUGGCGGACGGGUGAGGAACACGUGGGUUAUCUGCCUUUCGGUGAGGAAUACCAGCGAGAAAUCGCUGACAAUACCGCAUACGGUUCUUUCGAGAGAGAGAACGAAAGUCGCAAGACGCCGGGAGAUGAGCCUGCGCCCGAUUAGUUAGUUGGUGGGGUAAAAAGCCUACCAAGACUGCAAUCGGUAGCUGGUCUGAGAGGACGAUCAGCCACACUGGGAUUGAGAACGGCCCAGACUCCUACGGGGGGCAGCAGUGAGGAAUUUUCGUCAAUGGGGGAAACCCUGAACGAGCAACGCCGCGUGCAGGAAGAAGGUUUUCGGAUCGUAAACUGCUUUUCUGUGGGAAGAGAACGGACGGUACCACAGGAAGAAGCCCCGGCUAACUACGCGCCAGCAGGCCGC
rnacentral:rRNA from 1 species